AGCAAUUAAGCAUUCAGCUGCUAACUGAAAGAUUGGUGGUUUGAACCCACCAGCUGCUC
rnacentral:tRNA from 1 species